rnacentral:rRNA from 1 species
GAUGAACGCUGACAGAAUGCUUAACACAUGCAAGUCAACUUGAACUUCGGUUUGGGUGGCGGACGGGUGAGUAACGCGUAAAGAACUUGCCUCACAGCUAGGGACAACAUUUGGAAACGAAUGCUAAUACCUGAUAUUAUGAUUAUAUGGCAUCGUAUAAUUAUGAAAGCUAUAUGCGCUGUGAGAGAGCUUUGCGUCCCAUUAGCUAGUUGGAGAGGUAACAGCUCACCAAGGCGAUGAUGGGUAGCCGGCCUGAGAGGGUGAUCGGCCACAAGGGGACUGAGACACGGCCCUUACUCCUACGGGGGGCAGCAGUGGGGAAUAUUGGACAAUGGACCGAGAGUCUGAUCCAGCAAUUCUGUGUGCACGAUGAAGUUUUUCGGAAUGUAAAGUGCUUUCAGUUGGGAAGAAAAAAAUGACGGUACCAACAGAAGAAGAGACGGCUAAAUACGUG